GAUGAACGCUAGCGGGAGGCCUAACACAUGCAAGCCGAGCGGUAGAGUCUCUUCGGAGACUUGAGAGCGGCGCACGGGUGCGGAACACGUGUGCAACCUGCCUUUAUCUGGGGGAUAGCCUUUCGAAAGGAAGAUUAAUACCCCAUAAUAUACUGGAUGGCAUCAUCUGGUAUUGAAAACUCCGGUGGCUAGAGAUGGGCACGCGCAAGAUUAGAUAGUUGGUGAGGUAACGGCUCACCAAGUCAGCGAUCUUUAGGGGGCCUGAGAGGGUGAUCCCCCACACUGGAACUGGGACACGGACCAGACUCCUACGGGAGGCAGCAGUGAGGAAUAGUGGACAAUGGGGGAGAGCCUGAUCCAGCCAGCCCGCGUGAAGGACGACGGCCCUAUGGGUUGUAAACUUCUUUUGUAUAGGGAUAAACCUAGAUACGUGUAUCUAGCUGAAGGUACUAUACGAAUAAGCACCGGCUAACUCCGUG
rnacentral:rRNA from 1 species